AUUGAACGCUGGCGGCAGGCCUAACACAUGCAAGUCGAACGAGUGGCGGACGGGUGAGUAAUGUCUGGGAAACUGCCCGAUGGAGGGGGAUAACUACUGGAAACGGUAGCUAAUACCGCAUACCAUCGGAUGUGCCCAGAUGGGAUUAGCUAGUAGGUGGGGUAACGGCUCACCUAGGCGACGCUCCCUAGCUGGUCUGAGAGGAUGACCAGCCACACUGGAACUGAGACACGGGCCAGACUCCUACGGGAGGCAGCAGUGGGGAAGAUUGGACAAUGGGCGAAAGCCUGAUGCAGCCAUGCCGCGUGUAUGAAGAAGGCCUUCGGGUUGUAAAGUACUUUCGGCAGAGAGGCGGUACUCGCAGAAGAAGCACCGGCUAACUCCGUGCCAGCAGCCGCGGUAAUAC
rnacentral:rRNA from 1 species